GAGAGAGGGACGUCCUCAUCUUUGCCCUCUUUCUAGUUGAAGAUUGAAGUGGUUGGCUGCUAGAAAGGGACGAGAAGCAAAAGGAGAAGUCAUUUCGGAAUAAAAAAAAAGGUUACAAACUGCAAAGCAAUGUUCAGGAAACCCUUCUGCUGGGCUCCACCAUGCGCCUUCUUGGAGCCCUUUCGAUGCUGGGUUUUCAGGCUUCACUACAAGCUGAGCUUUUUCCAUGCCGACAUUGAGGUGAUUUUGGUGCCCCACAACAAUGAGCAAGGAAAAUCAUGGAAGAUCUAACUGUUUUGGUGUGCAAAUUUUU